rnacentral:lncRNA from 1 species
GGAGGAGCUGUUCUGGCCACCCGGUGACCUGGGUUUUCUCCCCUCAGGUGGGUGCUUCUAAGCCACCGGGUGCACGAACGCCAAGGGAUGCUGGUCUUGCUUCUGCAUGCAAGGACACGGAGUUUGAUUGACUCAUUGGGACAGAAUGUUUACUUCCCAGAGCCAGAAUAACUUCAGACGUGCACC